rnacentral:rRNA from 1 species
CCUACGGGAGGCAGCAGUGAGGAAUAUUGGUCAAUGGACGCAAGUCUGAACCAGCCAUGCCGCGUGCAGGAAGACGGCUCUAUGAAUUGUAAACUUCUUUUGUCCGGGGGUAAACGCUGAUACGUGUACCCGUCUGAAAGUACCUUACGAAUAAGCAUCGGCUAACUCCGUGCCAGCAGCCGCGGUAAUACGGAGGAUGCGAGCGUUAUCCGGAUUUAUUGGGUUUAAAGGGUGCGUAUGCGGGCGGAUAAGUUAGCGGUUAAAUCCCGGGGCUCAACUUCGGGAUUCCCGCUGAUAGUGUCAGGCUUGAGUGGAGUAGAGGUAGGCGGAAUGCGAGGUGUAGCGGUGAAAUGCAUAGAGA